rnacentral:rRNA from 1 species
UCGGACGGGAUCCGUCGGAGAGCUUGCUCGAAGACGGUGAGAGUGGCGCACGGGUGCGUAACGCGUGAGCAACCUACCUCUAUCAGGGGGAUAGCCUCUCGAAAGAGAGAUUAACACCGCAUAACAUAUGUGACCGGCAUCGGUUGGAUAUUAAAUAUUUAUAGGAUAUAGAUGGGCUCGCGUGACAUUAGCUAGUUGGUAGGGUAACGGCUUACCAAGGCGACGAUGUCUAGGGGCUCUGAGAGGAGAAUCCCCCA